AUGAACGCUGGCGGCGUGCCUAAUCCAUGCAAGUCGAGCGAACAGAUGAGGAGCUUGCUCCUCUGACGUUAGCGGCGGACGGGUGAGUAACACGUGGAUAACCUACCUAUAAGACUGGGAUAACUUGGGAAACCGGAGCUAAUACCGGAUAAUAUAUUGAACCGCAUGGUUCAAUAGUGAAAGACGGUUUUGCUGUCACUUAUAGAUGGAUCCGCGCCGCAUUAGCUAGUUGGUAAGGUAACGGCUUACCAAGGCAACGAUGCGUAGCCGACCUGAGAGGGUGAUCGGCCACACUGGAACUGAGACACGGUCCAGACUCCUACGGGAGGCAGCAGUAGGGAAUCUUCCGCAAUGGGCGAAAGCCUGACGGAGCAACGCCGCGUGAGUGAUGAAGGUCUUCGGAUCGUAAAACUCUGUUAUUAGGGAAGAACAAAUGUGUAAGUAACUAUGCACGUCUUGACGGUACCUAAUCAGAAAGCCACGGCUAACUACGUG
rnacentral:rRNA from 1 species